rnacentral:rRNA from 1 species
UCGAGAAUUUUUCACAAUGGGCGCAAGCCUGAUGGAGCGACGCCGCGUGGGGGAUGAAGGGUUUCGAUCCGUAAACCCCUGUCAUUUGCGAACAAACCUCAUUCAAUAACACUGGAUGAGCUGAUUGUAGCGGAAGAGGAAGGGACGGCUAACUCUGUGCCAGCAGCCGCGGUAAUACAGAGGUCCCAAGCGUUGUUCGGAUUCACUGGGCGUAAAGGGUGCGUAGGUGGCCGGGUAAGUUCGGUGUGAAAGCUCGGAGCUCAACUCCGAAAUGGCAUUGAAUACUAUCCGGCUGGAGGGUCGGAGGGGAGACUGGAAUUCUCGGUGUAGCAGUGAAAUGCGUAGAUAUCGAGAGGAACACCAGUGGCGAAGGCGAGUCUCUGGACGACACCUGACACUGAGGCACGAAAGCUAGGGGAGCAAACAGGAUUAGAUACCCUGGUAGUCCUAGCUGUAAACGGUGCACGUUUGCUGUAAGAGGAA